UCGAAGGAAGCUAAUCAGUAGUUUUUUAAUUGAAAGCUGGUAUGAAUGGUUGGAUGAAAUAUUAGCUGUUUCAUUUAAAAUUAUUAUAGAACUUUAUUUUUUAGUUAAAAAGCUAAAAUUUUAUUAAAAGACGAGAAGACCCUAUAAAUCUUUAUAUAUUAUUUAAAUAUUAAUUAUAAAGAUUUUUUUGAUUAUUAUAUUUUGAUAUAUUUUAUUGGGGUGAUAUUAAAAUUUAAAAAACUUUUAAUUUAUAUAAUACAUAAAUUAAUGAAUAUAUGAUCCAUUAUUAAUGAUUAAAAAUUUAAGUUACUUUAGGGAUAACAGCGUAAUUUUUUUGGAGAGUUCAUAUCGAUAAAAAAGAUUGCGACCUCGAUGUUGGAUUAA
rnacentral:rRNA from 1 species